rfam:Lachancea thermotolerans CBS 6340 chromosome B complete sequence.
UCCGAUGUAGUGUAAUGGCUAUCACAUCACGCUCUCACCGUGGAGAUCGGGGUUCGAUUCCCCGCUUCGGAA